rnacentral:rRNA from 1 species
CACGUAGGGUGCGAGCGUUGUCCGGAAUUAUUGGGCGUAAAGAGCUCGUAGGCGGUGUGUCGCGUCGGCCGUGAAAACCUGCAGCUUAACUGUGGGCUUGCGGUCGAUACGGGCAUCACUGGAGUUCGGCAGGGGAGACUGGAAUUCCUGGUGUAGCGGUGAAAUGCGCAGAUAGUCAGGAGGAACACCGGUGGCGAAGGCGGGUCUCUG